rnacentral:rRNA from 1 species
UACGGGGGGAGCAAGCGUUGUUCGGAUUUACUGGGCGUAAAGGGCGCGUAGGCGGUCAGCACAAGUCAGUUGUGAAAUCUCCGGGCUUAACUCGGAAAGGUCAACUGAUACUGUGCGACUAGAGUGCAGAAGGGGCAACUGGAAUUCUCGGUGUAGCGGUGAAAUGCGUAGGUAUCGAGAGGAACACCUGCGGCGAAGGCGGGUUGCUGGGCUGACACUGACGCUGAUGCGCGAAAGCCAGGGGAGCGAACGGG